rnacentral:rRNA from 1 species
UACGUAGGGGGCAAGCGUUGUCCGGAAUCAUUGGGCGUAAAGCGCGUGUAGGCGGCCCGGUAAGUCCGCUGUGAAAGUCGGGGGCUCAACCCCGGGCUUGCGGUCGAUACGGGCAGGCUGGAGUUCGGUAGGGGAGACUGGAAUUCCUGGUGUAGCGGUGAAAUGCGCAGAUAUCAGGAGGAACACCGGUGGCGAAGGCGGGUCUCUGGGCCGAUACUGACGCUGAGGAGCGAAAGCGUGGGGAGCGAACAGG